AAAGUCGUAACAAGGUAACCGUAGGUGAACCUGCGGUUGGAUCAUUAUCGCUUUCGAUUUGUGAGUGAUCACAUCGAUUCAAACAAACGUGGAUACACCCAUUCACAACACAACGUUAAACCAAACCACAACCACUAAUAACUCACGAAUCCCAAUCAACUAACACAUCCGCUCCACUAACAAGAGGAGCAGAUGAGUCGAACUAUUCAAAAAGAAAAGAACACGACUCGCAACAACGGAUAUCUUGGCUCUC
rnacentral:misc_RNA from 1 species